rnacentral:tRNA from 1 species
ACUUAAGUAUUUUAAUAUAAAAUAAUGAUUUGUGGAGUCAUAGAUAUGGGUUCAUCUUAGGUU